CCUACGGGUGGCUGCAGUGGGGAAUAUUGCGCAAUGGGCGAAAGCCUGACGCAGCGACGCCGCGUGAGGGAUGAAGGUCCUACGGAUUGUAAACCUCUUUUGCCGGGGAGCAAGCGUGCGUUCGUGAACGCGCGUCGAGAGUACCCGGAGAAAAAGCAUCGGCUAACUCCGUGCCAGCAGCCGCGGUAAUACGGAGGAUGUGAGCGUUAUCCGGAUUUAUUGGGUUUAAAGGGUGCGUAGGCGGGAUGCCAAGUCAGCGGUAAAAAUGCGGUGCUCAACGCCGUCGAGCCGUUGAAACUGGCGUUCUUGAGUGGGCGAGAAGUAUGCGGAAUGCGUGGUGUAGCGGUGAAAUGCAUAGAUAUCACGCAGAACUCCGAUUGCGAAGGCAGCAUACCGGCGCCCUACUGACGCUGAGGCACGAAAGCGUGGGUAUCGAACAGGAUUAGAUACCCUGGUAGUC
rnacentral:rRNA from 1 species